rnacentral:rRNA from 1 species
CAGCCGUAAACUAUGCGCGUUAGGUGUACUGGUGACCACGAGUCACCGGGGUGCCGAAGGGAAACCGUGAAACGUGCCGCCUGGGAAGUACGGUCGCAAGGCUGAAACUUAAAGGAACUGGCGGGGGAGCACCACAACGGGUGGAGCCUGCGGUUUAAUUGGACUCAACGCCGGAAAUCUCACCGGAUAGGACAGACAUAUGAUAGUCGGGCUGAAGACUCUACUUGAUGAUCUGAGAGGUGGUGCAUGGCGUCAGUGACU